AGGAAUAUUAUCUGAGAAACCAUAAACUUGUUAAUGUUUGUAAAAUAAACUUUCUUUUUGGUUUACUUUUAGCAACUGGCUGGACUCGGUGUUUAACCCGAGGAUAAUGGGUUGGUGGCAGCAGGGAAGCGAGCACAGUGGUGGCACAGGGAUCAAUAGACCGUUAAACGUCCGGGGACCCUGUGUGAUCUCCCACAAUAACCUUUGCUUUUUACAGAUUCGGUAGCAACAGCUUCUGGGCCGCUGCUUGUCGAAGUGGCCAAAACUGCUGGUUCCGCUCUGGGAGUUGCACUAUCUACCUCGAUGUGCUGUAGCAAACAAGUGAUCAUCAUAGACAAAAUAAAAUCUGCAAGUAUUGCAGACAGGUG